AUAGAAAGUAUCGAUGAAUAAAGAAAAGGCCUAUCUGCCAUCGCUUCAUGAAGCUGUAGCUAGUGGAGGAGUAGACUAAGGAAGAAGAGGUCUACUACAUUCCACAGCCACGCAAAGUCUCAGGAAAAGACCCCGAUGCGCAGGUGAACUGUCAAAGCCUGACGCCAUCAGCCUGGAAAGAGCUCCAGCACUGGAAUGAUUUCACCUCUGUAUAAUAUUAUCUCCGGCGUGUUUUGCUGAAUGCAGAUGGCUUAAUGAACAAAACUGCUGAAAGAAUCAAAACCACACACCCAAACGGCAAGAGCAUUGUGCUAAACAACAUCAUUUGUGUUCUGUGAACUGUGUGAUGAAAGAAAAAAACAAAAACAAAAAAAGCUGUGCCAGGAAUUUUGUAAUACAGGUAGUAGACUAAAUACAUUUAUUACAGAUCUCGGGUCCAAGGUAAAUGGGGUGUUAGGCAGAUAUUGUCGAAUGUGCUCGCGGAGAGUUUAGAUUAUAU